AGGCUUGCUGGAAGAGGACGCUCUACACUGUCUGACCACAGAUGACAUCUAGCUACUGUACUGAGAAAAAUGGCACUACACAGGCUUGGCUAACAGUGAAACUUGAGCAGCUGCAGGUAUGUCUUUACACACAUGCUCACACACAGUGCCAUAAUAUCAUAAUAACAUCAGUUAUUUAUAUAAUGUCAAAAGAAUAGAAGUUAUCAUUAUGAAACAACUCCUUACAAAUUAAGUAACGGUCUAGGUUUGAAACCGUCUCCUGUAAUGCAUUUUAAACAUUUCUAGGUGCUUUUUUGAGCUUUGAGAUUUGUUCAGUUAGAAUCAGAAUCACAUUAUUUUGGCAAGUAUGUUACACAUAGAAGGAAUUUGUCUUGGUGAGUGCACACAUGUAUGAUAUGUAAUAUACUAAACAGACCAAACAAGCACACAGACUAUUAACACAUAUUCACUAAGGGAUAAAUAAAAUAAGGAUACAAUAAAUAGAAUAGAGUAUAAGAAAGAAUAAUGAAGUAACUUUAUUCCAUAAAGCCAUUUAAUUGACACUCCUCAUCCUUUUAGUGAUUUCACAUAAAACAGCACAGCAUGACUGAAGUGAGUGCAGGGAAAAAUUAGUGAAAAAUUGUACAUCUUAUAAAAAACAAUGUGUCAUAGGCCCGGCAGGUAGUUCAGUCAUGAUACUCCUGCUGUGGGCUUAAACACCAAAUGUCUGCGGAUUGAGAGGGGCAGUUUAGAAUGUCAGUUUUCCUUCUCUGUCCAUCUUGUCACAGAGUAAAAUGGUCCCUCAUCAUUACUGUCAUGCUGAAAUGUCAUUUUUUGACAAAGCGACUGACUAAGUGUGGGCUUUUGGACAUUGGCACAACGUUCUGUCAUUUCUUCUCAUCUGACAACCAGAUGAUGCAAUUUGGCCACCAAAGCAAGUGUGUCCAUCCAUACGUUCUGUUCCUUUCUGCCUCUUGUGUCAGCAUGCUCCUCAGUGACGCUGCAGAACGCUGUGGCCACGUGGUUAAAUAACAGUUCUGAUAGCUGCUGUUUGAUUUCUUAAAGGCAAAGGAGUCAGAAAGGUUCUUUGAGGUAAUACUAUAGAAGAACUACUUUUGGUUCCCUAAAGAAACUUUCAAUUAAUAUAAAUGAGAUGUGCGAGUGUGAAGAACCUUUUUUAAAAGUUUAAAGAGCUUCUAUAUUAUGUAAGGGUACAAUAUUAGUUAAAGGUCCAAGACAAGAACCGAUUAACCUUUAUUUUUGAGCUUGUAAGAUGCUCUUUUUAAUUUUGAACUUUCUAAGAACCAUGCGUGUGCACUAAUAUUGUAAAUUUCUUACUUCCAAAACUUUCCCUGUGAUUUAAACCCCAUUCACCUGCUUCUUUAGAACAAUAGCAUGCAUGCAAAGAGGCUAGCUAACAUGUAACAUGUUGCAGUGGUGCACACGUGACUAUUACAGAAAAACCUCCUGUUACUCACCAUCUUCUUUAUUUGCUCCCUAAAGUCUCUCUGCCCUCUAGGACAUUGAUCUAGUAAUAUAAGUGAUGAGGUCAUCAACACCGUAGUAGCAAGUGCUUUGACAGUGUUAAUGCACCCGUGUAGUCAUGAUACAUUUCAUUUUAUGUGUCUGCAUAAGAGCUAACACAAAUACUAGCGCACACAUACAUGGAAAAACAAACACAGGAAGCACUGUGCCUACAUCUCUGUUUAUGCUCUGUCCCUCUCUCACACUCUCACACUCAGUGUCUUCCGUCCCCCCUCUCUAUCAGUUCAAUCAGUCUCUGAGGGAAAAAGAAUGUAGCCAUCAUUUCUAAACACACACAUUCCUCCAGGCUAGAUCCAUCAUAUCCCCAUCCAAAACAUUUUUGAACAAAUGCAGUACAACAGGAAUUUAUUGCUCAGUGAAAGAACAGGCCUUCGAAACGAAAGGGGCCCGAGUAUUACCAGCUGUGGCACUCCAAAGCUAGUGUUCACCCUGCAUUUAGGACAGCCGCUAGCGUGGGACUUCCUGCAUGAAACUUGGCUUUUUUUCUUCUUCAGUAAAUUGAACAUCCUGUAUAUGUGAAAUUCCAUCAAAGACUUGUUUAUGUUGUAAAUAAACAUAAAGAUAAAGAGCAAAAUAAAAGAGGCCAAAAGGAUGGAAAUGAAGAGGAUAUUGAAAGAAAAAAGAAAGAAAGAUAGACUAAUUAAUCAAUUUCUGCCAUAUAUUUUUAUUCUAGUUGUGAAUGCACAGUAUGUGGCUCCUUUUAACACCAUUACUAAAUGAUAAUUGGCUUAUUGGAUGUUCAUUGUUAUCAUUUGAUGUUAAUGUCAUGUUUGCUAUAGCACUGAGAUUGAACAGAUUCUGAUUCUAUUGGAUCGCCUCACGUCCUUAGCUCUUCCUUCCUCAGUUUAAUGCAGCUCCCCCAAGCCAACAUGAACAAAAGCUAUUGCUCUUCAUCUAUCAGAGCAUGGUUAAAGGUAAGUGGCACCCUCUAUUAUGAUGACAAGGCAAGUAAUGGUACAGUCUGUCCCCCUGGUUCUGCAUUACUUAUUUAUAGGUUAACCCCCCUCCUUCAGUUUGGGCAAGUCUGUUUUUUCUGAGAGCAUGUGGGCGCCACAGGUGAAUACCAACGGGCAAAUCCACGGGGGAUACAACUAUGCAGCCAUGUAACAUGCUAACCUCCACUUUAAAUACUGUUAUUCUUAACUGUGCAUUGUGUUUUUCUGUAUUUUUCAUUAAAUCUAUGUUUAUUAUAUUAAGACUGAAGGAAAACACAUGUAUUUGAAUGAGUUAAAUAAAAUGACCAUGCAUCUA